ensembl:snRNA U6 U6 spliceosomal RNA
GUGCUCACUUCAGCAGCACAGAUACUAAAAUUGGAACAAUAUAGAGAAGAUUAGCAUGUCCCCUGUGCAGGAAUGACAUGGAUAUUUGUAAAGCAUUCCAUAUGUUU